rnacentral:rRNA from 1 species
CUACGGGUGGCACCAGUGGGGAAUAUUGCGCAAUGGGGGAAACCCUGACGCAGCGACGCCGCGUGCGGGAUGAAGGCCCUCGGGUCGUAAACCGCUUUCAGCGGGGAAGAUGAUGACUGUACCCGCAGAAGAAGCCCCGGCUAACUACGUGCCAGCAGCCGCGGUAAUACGUAGGGGGCGAGCGUUAUCCGGAUUCAUUGGGCGUAAAGCGCGCGUAGGCGGCCCGGUCAGUCGGGGGUCCAAUGGCGGGGCUCAACCCCGUCCCGCCCCCGAUACUGCCGGGCUCGAGUCCUGCAGGGGAUGGCGGAACUCCCGGUGUAGCGGUGGAAUGCGCAGAUAUCGGGAGGAACACCGGUGGCGAAGGCGGCCAUCUGGGCAGGCACUGACGCUGAGGCGCGAAAGCUGGGGGAGCGAACAGGAUUAGAUACCCUUGUAGUC